GGGGAAUAGCCCAGGGAAACUUGGAUUAAUGCCCCGUAGUACCACGACCUGGCAUCGGGAUGUGGUUAAAGCCUUCGGGCGGUAUAAGAUGGCCAUGCGUCCCAUUAGUUUGUUGGUAAGGUAACGGCUUACCAAGACUACGAUGGGUAGGGGCCCUGAGAGGGGGAUCCCCCACACUGGUACUGAGACACGGACCAGACUCCUACGGGAGGCAGCAGUGAGGAAUAUUGGACAAUGGAGGAGACUCUGAUCCAGCCAUGCCGCGUGCAGGAAGAAUGCCCUAUGGGUAGUAAACUGCUUUUAUACAGGAAGAAAAAUAGCUACGUGUAGCUUACUGACGGUACUGUAAGAAUAAGGACCGGCUAACUCCGUGCCAGCAGCCGCGGUAAUACGGAGGGUCCGAGCGUUAUCCGGAAUUAUUGGGUUUAAAGGGUCCGUAGGCGGGCCGAUAAGUCAGGGGUGAAAGUUUGCAGCUCAACUGUAAAAUUGCCUUNGAUACUGUUGGUCUUGAGUUAUAGUGAAGUUGCCGGAAUAUGUAGUGUAGCGGUGAAAUGCAUAGAUAUUACAUAGAACACCGAUUGCGAAGGCAGGUGACUAACUAUAUACUGACGCUGAUGGACGAAAGCGUGGGGAGCGAACAGGAUUAGAUACCCUGGUAGUCCACGCCGUAAACGAUGGAUACUAGCUGUCCGGAACCUUGAGUUCUGGGCGGCCAAGCGAAAGUGAUAAGUAUCCCACCUGGGGAGUACGUUCGCAAGAAUGAAACUCAAAGGAAUUGACGGGGGCCCGCACAAGCGGUGGAGCAUGUGGUUUAAUUCGAUGAUACGCGAGGAACCUUACCAGGGCUUAAAUGCAUAUUGACAGGUCUAGAGAUAGAUUUUCCUUCGGGCAAUUUGCAAGGUGCUGCAUGGUUGUCGUCAGCUCGUGCCGUGAGGUGUCAGGUUAAGUCCUAUAACGAGCGCAACCCCUACCGUUAGUUGCCAGCAUGUCAUGAUGGGGACUCUAACGGGACUGCCGGUGCAAACCGUGAGGAAGGUGGGGAUGACGUCAAAUCAUCACGGCCCUUACGUCCUGGGCCACACACGUGCUACAAUGGCAGGUACAGAGAGCAGCCAUGUCGCAAGGCAGAGCGAAUCUAUAAAACCUGUCACAGUUCGGAUCGGGGUGUGCAACUCGAC
rnacentral:rRNA from 1 species